rnacentral:rRNA from 1 species
CCGGGGGCGACAGCAAUAUGAAGGUCAGGCUGAAGACCUUACCCGAUUAGCUGAGAGGUGGUGCAUGGCCGUCGUCAGUUCGUACUGUGAAGCAUCCUGUUAAGUCAGGCAACGAGCGAGACCCACGUCCACAGUUGCCAGCAUACCCUCCGGGGUGAUGGGUACACUGUGGAGACCGCCGCUGCUAAAGCGGAGGAAGGAGUGGGCAACGGUAGGUCAGUAUGCCCCGAAUCUCCCGGGCUACACGCGGGCUACAAUGGUUGGUACAAUGGGCAUCUACCCCGAAAGGGGAAGGAAAUCUCUUAAAGCCAAUCGUAGUUCGGAUCGAGGGCUGCAACUCGCCCUCAUGAAGCUGGAAUCCGUAGUAAUCGCGUUUCAACAGAACGCGGUGAAUACGUCCCUGCUCCUU